GCCCAGAUAGCUCAGGCAGUACAGCAUGGGACUCUUAAUCACAGGGUUGUGAGUUCAAGCCCCACAUUGGGUU
rfam:Cricetulus griseus cell line CHO-K1, whole genome shotgun sequence.